rnacentral:lncRNA from 1 species
GGGCGCCUUCCGGGGCACGCGGGAUCGACAUGCACUUGGAUCACUGCAGUUCCUGGGCCUGCUGUCAUCUCCCCCUUCAGUACUUCCCACAUAUGACUACCAACUGUUAGACGAUGUGCUGCCAGACCAGCCUUUCAUUUCUUGGACAUCCGGCUAUUUACCCAGGAAAAGUCAUCCUUUGACUAUUUUUCAUGACCUUUCUCAUCUGACUCGUGAUCUGCCCAUCUUGUUACUCC